GGUUGUGGCUCAGUGGUAGAGUGCUCGUAUAGCAUACAUGAGGCACUGGGUUCGAUCCUCAGUACCA
rnacentral:tRNA from 1 species